rnacentral:rRNA from 1 species
ACCAGACUCCUACGGGAGGCAGCAGUGGGGGAUAUUGCACAAUGGGGGAAACCCUGAUGCAGCGACGCCGCGUGGGUGAAGAAGUAUUUCGGUAUGUAAAGCCCUAUCAGCAGGGAAGAAAGAAGACGGUACCUGACUAAGAAGCCCCGGCUAACUACGUGCCGGCAGCCGCGGUAAUACGUAGGGGGCGAGCGUUAUCCGGAUUCACUGGGUGUAAAGGGAGCGUAGACGGCCGUGCAAGCCAGGAGUGAAAGCCCGGGGCGCAACCCCGGGACUGCUCUUGGAACUGUGCGGCUAGAGUGCGGGAGGGGCAGGCGGAAUUCCUAGUGUAGCGGUGAAAUGCGUAGAUAUCACGCAGAACCCCGAUUGCGAAGGCAGCCUUCCGGCGCCCUACUGACGCUGAGGCACGAAAGUGCGGGGAUCGAACAGGAUUAGAUACCCGAGUAAA